CCAAUAGCGUAUAUUAAAGUUGUUGCAGUUAAAAAGCUCGUAGUUGAAUUUCGGGAUUGACACAUCGGUCGUGCCCUAAGGGGUAUGAACUGGUGUAGUCAAUUUCUCACCUUCUGGAGAACCGCGAUGCCCUUAAUUGGGUGUCACGGGGAACCAGGACCUUUACUUUGAAAAAAUUAGAGUGUUUAAAGCAGGCAUUUUGCUUGAAUACAUUAGCAUGGAAUAAUAAAAUAGGACGGCAUGAUUCUAUUUUGUUGGUUUCUAGGAUAACCGUAAUGAUUAAUAGGGAUAGUUGGGGGCAUUAGUAUUCAAUUGUCAGAGGUGAAAUUCUUGGAUUUAUUGAAGACUAACUACUGCGAAAGCAUUUGCCAAGGAUGUUUUCAUUAAUCAAGAACGAAAGUUAGGGGAUCGAAGACGAUCAGAUACCGUCGUAGUCUUAACCAUAAACUAUGCCGACUAGGAAUCAGACGAUGUUAAUUUUUUAAUGACUCGUUUGGCACCUUACG
rnacentral:rRNA from 1 species